GCGUUUCUGCGAAGCAGGUGAGUCUCCUAUUUUUGAUCCAACAGUCAAAAAAUAGGGAGUCCGACUCGACAAGAAGCGCUGGUGAGCAAGCUCCGGCGAGGACAGUCUCGAACGGAGAAGCCUAAAGGCGCUCGGCGGACACCCGCCCCGUUCUAACAAAAAGGGGUCAAUAACGGUGAUCGCACGGCCGAGUGGUACGCU
rnacentral:other from 1 species